AGAGCGAACGCUGGCGGCAGGCCUAACACAUGCAAGUCGAACGGACCCUUCGGGGUUAGUGGCGGACGGGUGAGUAACACGUGGGAACGUGCCUUUAGGUUCGGAAUAGCUCCUGGAAACGGGUGGUAAUGCCGAAUGUGCCCUUCGGGGGAAAGAUUUAUCGCCUUUAGAGCGGCCCGCGUCUGAUUAGCUUGUUGGUGAGGUAAUGGCUCACCAAGGCUACGAUCAGUAGCUGGUCUGAGAGGAUGACCAGCCACAUUGGGACUGAGACACGGCCCAGACUCCUACGGGAGGCAGCAGUGGGGAAUAUUGCACAAUGGGCGAAAGCCUGAUGCAGCGACGCCGACGUGAGGGAUGGACGGCCUUCGGGUUGUAAACCUCUUUCAGCAGGGACGAAGCGCAAGUGACGUACCUGCAGAAGAAGACACCGGCUAACUACGUGCCAGCAGCCGC
rnacentral:rRNA from 1 species